GACGAACGCUGGCGGCGUGCUUAACACAUGCAAGUCGAACGGAAAGGCCCUGCUUUUGUGGGGUGCUCGAGUGGCGAACGGGUGAGUAACACGUGAGUAACCUGCCCUUGACUUUGGGAUAACUUCAGGAAACUGGGGCUAAUACCGGAUAGGAGCUCCUGCUGCAUGGUGGGGGUUGGAGAGUUUCGGCGGUUGGGGAUGGACUCGCGGCUUAUCAGCUUGUUGGUGGGGUAGUGGCUUACCAAGGCUUUGACGGGUAGCCGGCCUGAGAGGGUGACCGGCCACAUUGGGACUGAGAGACGGCCCAGACUCCUACGGGAGGCAGCAGUGGGGAAUAUUGCACAAUGGGCGGAAGCCUGAUGCAGAAACGCCGCGUGCGGGAUGACGGCCUUCGGGUUGUAAACCGCUUUCGCCUGUGACGAAGCGUGAGUGACGGUAAUGGGUAAAGAAGCACCGGCUAACUACGUG
rnacentral:rRNA from 1 species